rnacentral:rRNA from 1 species
UAGGGAAUCUUCCACAAUGGACGCAAGUCUGAUGGAGCAACGCCGCGUGAGUGAAGAAGGCUUUCGGGUCGUAAAACUCUGUUAUUGAAGAAGAACGUGUGUGACAGUAACUGGUCAUGCAGUGACGGUAUUCAAUCAGAAAGUCACGGCUAACUACGUGCCAGCAGCCGCGGUAAUACGUAGGUGGCAAGCGUUGUCCGGAUUUAUUGGGCGUAAAGCGAGUGCAGGCGGUCUUUUAAGUCUGAUGUGAAAGCCUUCGGCUUAACCGAAGAAGGGCAUCGGAAACUGGGAGACUUGAGUGCAGAAGAGGAGAG